rnacentral:rRNA from 1 species
GACGAACGCUGGCGGCGUGCCUAAUACAUGCAAGUUGAGCGCUGAAGGUUGGUACUUGUACCAACUGGAUGAGCAGCGAACGGGUGAGUAACGCGUGGGGAAUCUGCCUUUGAGCGGGGGACAACAUUUGGAAACGAAUGCUAAUACCACAUAAAAACUUUAAACACAAGUUUUAAGUUUGAAAGAUGCAAUUGCAUCACUCAAAGAUGAUCCCGCGUUGUAUUAGCUAGUUGGUGAGGUAAAGGCUCACCAAGGCGAUGAUACAUAGCCGACCUGAGAGGGUGAUCGGCCACAUUGGGACUGAGACACGGCCCAAACGCCUACGGGAGGCAGCAGUAGGGAAUCUUCGGCAAUGGACGAAAGUCUGACCGAGCAACGCCGCGUGAGUGAAGAAGGUUUUCGGAUCGUAAAACUCUGUUGGUAGAGAAGAACGUUGGUGAGAGUGGAAAGCUCAUCAAGUGACGGUAACUACACAGAAAGGGACGGCUAACUACGUG